rnacentral:rRNA from 1 species
GAAUGCUGACAUAAGUAACGAUAAAGCGGGUGAAAAGCCCGCUCGCCGGAAGACCAAGGGUUCCUGUCCAACGUUAAUCGGGGCAGGGUGAGUCGACCCCUAAGGCGAGGCCGAAAGGCGUAGUCGAUGGGAAACGGGUUAAUAUUCCCGUACUUGGUGUUACUGCGAAGGGGGGACGGAGAAGGCUAUGUUGGCCGGGCGACGGUUGUCCCGGUUUAAGCGUGUAGGUGUGUGUUCCAGGUAAAUCCGGUUCACUUUAACACUGAGGCGUGACGACGAGGCACUACGGUGCUGAAGCAACAAAUGCCCUGCUUCCAGGAAAAGCCUCUAAGCAUCAGGUAACACGAAAUCGUACCCCAAACCGACACAGGUGGUCAGGUAGAGAAUACCAAGGCGCUUGAGAGAACUCGGGUGAAGGAACUAGGCAAAAUGGUGCCGUAACUUCGGGAGAAGGCACGCUGACACGUAGGUGAAGUGAUUUACUCAUGGAGCUGAAGUCAGUCGAAGAUACCAGCUGGCUGCAACUGUUUAUUAAAAACACAGCACUGUGCAAACACGAAAGUGGACGUAUACGGUGUGACGCCUGCCCGGUGCCGGAAGGUUAAUUGAUGGGGUCAGCGUAAGCGAAGCUCCUGAUCGAAGCCCCGGUAAACGGCGGCCGUAACUAUAACGGUCCUAAGGUAGCGAAAUUCCUUGUCGGGUAAGUUCCGACCUGCACGAAUGGCGUAAUGAUGGCCAGGCUGUCUCCACCCGAGACUCAGUGAAAUUGAACUCGCUGUGAAGAUGCAGUGUACCCGCGGCAAGACGGAAAGACCCCGUGAACCUUUACUAUAGCUUGACACUGAACAUUGAGCCUUGAUGUGUAGGAUAGGUGGGAGGCUUUGAAGUGUGGACGCCAGUCUGCAUGGAGCCGACCUUGAAAUACCACCCUUUAAUGUUUGAUGUUCUAACGUGGACCCGUAAUCCGGGUUGCGGACAGUGUCUGGUGGGUAGUUUGACUGGGGCGGUCUCCUCCUAAAGAGUAACGGAGGAGCACGAAGGUUGGCUAAUCCUGGUCGGACAUCAGGAGGUUAGUGCAAUGGCAUAAGCCAGCUUGACUGCGAGCGUGACGGCGCGAGCAGGUGCGAAAGCAGGUCAUAGUGAUCCGGUGGUUCUGAAUGGAAGGGCCAUCGCUCAACGGAUAAAAGGUACUCCGGGGAUAACAGGCUGAUACCGCCCAAGAGUUCAUAUCGACGGCGGUGUUUGGCACCUCGAUGUCGGCUCAUCACAUCCUGGGGCUGAAGUAGGUCCCAAGGGUAUGGCUGUUCGCCAUUUAAAGUGGUACGCGAGCUGGGUUUAGAACGUCGUGAGACAGUUCGGUCCCUAUCUGCCGUGGGCGCUGGAGAACUGAGGGGGGCUGCUCCUAGUACGAGAGGACCGGAGUGGACGCAUCACUGGUGUUCGGGUUGUCAUGCCAAUGGCACUGCCCGGUAGCUAAAUGCGGAAGAGAUAAGUGCUGAAAGCAUCUAAGCACGAAACUUGCCCCGAGAUGAGUUCUCCCUGAGACUUUAGGUCUCCUGAAGGAACGUUGAAGACGACGACGUUGAUAGGCCGGGUGUGUAAGCGCAGCGAUGCGUUGAGCUAACCGGUACUAAUGAACCGUGAGGCUUAACCUUACAACGCCGAAG